CUCCAUUAUUGAUCCGUUGCUAUCUUCUUUUCUCUAUCUUCUUUUCAGUGUAGCAUCACAUCUGGAAUAAAGUUGUGCCUGCCACUACAUCUACUACAUAUGUGAUCAUUGUAUUUUUGACCAACUUUUUCACAAAAUUGUUCCGUAGCUUCUUCUGAAAUAAUUUCUUUUUUGAUAUAUCUCGUUAAUGGUUGUUCUUCUGGUUUGAGUGUUAAUCCCUAUUUUCUAAGUUCUUUCAUGUCUUGGUCUCUAACUUCUUUACAAGUUGAAUAAACCAAUGUUUGAUUCCUCGAGCUAUAUAUCUAAAUGGGUUUCUGAUUUGAAUAAUUAUUAAGUAAUUCUGAUAAUAUAUUACUAAGUCCAAUAACUCUUUUGUUGCAGUAAAAUCCUGGUAUCUAUGUUUUUGGUAUCUCAUCUUGUUCACAUAUUUCUUCUGGAAUAAUACAAUCUCUGGUCAUACCUAUCUUAAUUACUGUAAUAGUCUGUUUAACUUCAUCAAACAAUAUUUCGGCUGGAGCGGAAUAAAAUCAAACAUAAAAUAAUUGUCCGUUAGUAAUUCUCUUGUAGAUCAUAAAUCCAUUGUGAAUAUCUGGAAAUCCUUCUAACUCUUCUCCAGUAGUUGUGUAAACUGUAGAUAAUAAUCCAUAAUAAUAACAUGAUUUGAUUAAAUUCGAACUUGUACCUGAAAAAACAAUAAGAUUAUUGUAAUUCUGGCAUUUCUGGGUAAUAUAUCCUUUUUGUUGUGCGGCUAGUUCUUUACUUUGAAUAGGUUUGGUAUUUAACAUGGUUUGUAAGCUAUAUAUAUUUUCAAUGUAUUUUCGGGCAACAUAGUUGUAUGUCUGUUUUUCUUGGUUAAAUGAUUCAGAAUAUGUAUGUAUCCAAGUAAGUUUCUUGAUUAGCCUGUUGAUAAAUAUGGAUUUUUCUAGUAAAAAACACUAGGAAAAUUCUUCUCAUAUAUAGAGUUAUCUGGUACCUAUUGUGUUGCUGGUGACAGGUGUGAGGUGUGAGGUGUGGAAUUAGUCGAUAGAGUUACCUGAUACCUAUUGUUGUUGCUGGUGAGAGGUGAGGAAUUAGUCGAUAGAGUUACUUGAUACCUAUUAAUGUUGGUGCGAAGUGUGGAAUUAGUCGAUAUAUAGAGUUAUCUGAGGUGUAGAAUUAGUCGAUACCUAUAAAUGUUGCUGUUGUUGGUGAGAGGUAUGAGGUGUAAAAUUAGUCGAUAGAGUUACCUGGUACCUAUUGUUGUUGGUGGUGAGAGGUGAGAGGUCUGAAAUUAGUCGAGGUGCGCAAAAGAUGGUCCAGACACCACGGUUAUUUAAAAAAGGAGUUUUUUUUUUUGGGUGGCUUUUAGAGAAGGCUUUUGUGCUUUUCUUCUUUUUGGGUGGCUUUUAGAGAAGGCUUUUGUGUUUUUCUUCUUUGUGGGAUUGAAAAAAUGGAUUUUUAAGCUGAUCCAGAUGAGUUUCUUGAGUUCUCUAUUGAUAAAUUAUGGAUUUUUUGUGCUUUUAGAGAAGGUUUUUGGGUUUUUUCUGUUUCUUGGGGUUGAAAAGAAAGGUUUUCUAAGCUGAUCCUGACAAGUUUCUUCAUUUGUCUGUUGAUAAAUAUUGAAUUUUGUGGCUUUUAGAGAAGGUUUUUGUGUUUUUCUUCUAGGUGAUUCUUCCUAUUUGUCCUAACCUUGGUGGAUAGAGUUGCCCGAUAACUAGUGGGAGGUGGCAGUUAUCCCGUGCAUUUAGUUGAGUUGUGCGAAAGCUGACCCAGACACCACGGUUAUUAUAAAAGAGGAUUUUUUAAGCUGACACAGAUAAGUUUCUUGAUUUCUCUGUUGAUGAAUAUGGCUUUUUAUGCUUUUAGAAAAAGUUUUAAACUUUUCAGAUGGUGGGGUUUUCUCAGACCCUUUUCUGUAAUGUUGAUUGUAGUUGUAAUGGUGGGAGUUUUACUAAUGGUACAAACAAAAAUGAAGAAUUUUAGACAUAAAAAUGGAGUUUUUGUUCAGUUUGAUGUUCAAGAGAAAGUGGGAAUGAAGAAUCUUGAACCAAUGAAUAGGUCUAGUGAAGCUGAAAUUUUGUCAACUAGUGUUAGUCCUUAUCAUGAUUGGGAGUUAUUUGCUGCUGAUUAUGAAGAUUGUGUAUCCAGAUGCUUUUACGAGCAACAAGUCUUCGAUUUUUUCGAGUAUUUUUCUUCCUCAUACAAACCCCUUUGAUCCAAAGUUAGGAAAUUACUUUAGUGAGCACAUGUUCAAGAUUGCUCUUUUGGGUAGUUCUUUUGUUACUCAGAAACCAGAAGAGGCUCAUUUUUACUUUAUGCCGUUUUCGAUCAACGUUAUGCGAAAUCAUCCUCGUGUGCAUUCUGCCUCGGCGAUUGAAGAUUUUGUUGCUGUAUAAACUGAUAGAGUUAGAUCAGAGUUCGAAUGCAUCUGGUGGUGCUGAUCAUUUUUAUGUGUACUGUCAUUCUAUCGGUCGAGAUGCUGCCUCUGAGCAUCAAGAAUUGCAUCAUAACUCAAUUCAGGUUACUUGCUCGUCGAGAUACUUUCAGAGGCUAUACGUUGCCCACAAACAUAUUGGGCUGCCCCAAGUUUGGCCUCGCCAACACGAGCAAGUGUUGAACCCUCCAGAUGCGAGAUACAAGCUCGUCUUCUUUGCUGGUCGUGUCCAAAAUUCUCUUGCAAGACGAGAUUUAUUGUAGCAAUGGAAGAACGAUAGCUCCUUCGAUAUAUUCUCCGGGAGUUCAUCUUUCCCUUACAAGGAAGGAUUUCGGAGAAGUAGAUACUGUCUCCACGUCAAAGGUUACGAGUUAAAUACAGCUAGAGUCAGUGAUGCUAUUCAGCAUGGCUGUGUCCCUGUACUAAUUUCGUACUACUAUGAUCUUCCAUUAGCCAACAUAUUAGACUGGAGCAAGUUCUCAGUUAUUGUUAAUGAAAGAGAUAUUCCACACCUAAAGAAGAUACUGCUCUCUGUGCCUGAACGAACGUACCUCAACAUGUAUAAGAAUCUAGGUAUCGUUAGAAGGCACUUCGCGUGGUAUAGUAGCCCGAAAACUUAUGAUUUAUUCCACAUGACUGUUUACCAACUUUGGUGCAGAAGGGGACUACAUCGAGUCACUUGGUGAUAUCUCGGUAUCUGACUUCGCCUUAGCUGACAUCUAGCCGUGGUUUAUGUGAGUCUACUAGAUGUCAUCUAAGGCGAGCUUAAAUGGAACGACGUGGUCAGUAAGGAUUCAUAGAGCCGAGCUCAACAUGUUAGAAGUCAUGGCAAUGGUGUUUGUAUUUUUUUCACAUUUAUUAGAUCUCUCUCAAAUUUGUUUUUUAUUUACAUUAAUGGUGUUUGUAUUUUUUUUUCACAUUUAUUAGAUUUAAUGCAAGGGCUAGGAAGCUUUGACAUCCUCUUGUAUAUACAUUCCUCAUGUCUUGAAUUAUUCUAGUAGAUAGUUAUUCACAACAUCCGUUAAUUUUUCAAAGAGUGAAGGGUCAAAAACAAAUGUGUAGUAGAUAGUUAUUCACAACAUCCAUUAAUUUUUCAAAGAGCGAAAGGUCAAAAACAAA